AUGAAGAGGCUGCUGUCCUCCCUGCUAGGGAUGCUGUGCGCGGUUUGCUGGGUGAAAGGGCAACAGGUGAAGCAGAGUCCUGUGUCCUUGGUUCUGCAGGAGGGAGAGAAUGCAGAGCUGCAGUGCAACUUUUCCACCUCUGCAAACCAAAUGCAGUGGUUUCACCAAAGCCCUGGGGGACCCCUCAUCAGCCUGUUCUUCAAUCCUACUGGAACAAAGCAGAGAGGAAGACUGAAGUCCACGACAGUCACUCAGCAACGCCGCAGCUCUUUGUACAUUUCCUCCUCUCAGACCACAGACUCAGGCACUUAUUUCUGUGCUGUGGAUCCACAGUGCUCCCCACACACCUGCAGCCAGAACACAAACCUUCAGCUGGAGGGGCAGUGCUUCUUCCGUGAAGGUGAUGCUGAGACUCCUUGA